rnacentral:rRNA from 1 species
AAUUAAAGGGCUGCAGUAUAUUGACUGUACAAAGGUAGCAUAAUCAUUAGUCAUUUAAUUGAUGACUUGUAUGAAGGAUUGGAUGAAAUAUAAACUGUCUCUUAAUUAUUGAAUAGAAUUUAAUUUUUUAAUUAAAAAGUUAAAAUAUAUUAAAAAGACGAGAAGACCCUAUAGAUUUUUAUAAAAAAUUUAGUUAAUAUUAUUUAUGAAAAAUUAAAAUUAAAAUUAAAUUUAUUUAUUGUAUUGGGGUGAUAGAAAAAUAUAAAAAACUUUUUAUAUAUUAAAACAUUUAUAAGUGGUUAAAUGAUCCAAUAUUAUUGAUUAUAAGAAAAAAUUACCUUAGGGAUAACAGCGUAAUUUUUUUUUUUAGUUCGUAUAAGAAAAAGAGUUUGCGACCUCGAUGUUGGAUUAAGAUAAAAUUUAAAUGCAGAAG